rnacentral:lncRNA from 1 species
ACACUUGUGCUUCAAAGUAGCACCAUGAUCUUCAUGAUAGAGAGUCUCCGAUGUUGUCACUUUCAUAUACUAGUGGGAAAUUGUCAUUAUAGAACUUGGCUUGUAUAUUCCAAUGAUGGGCUUCCUCAAAUUGCCCUAGGUCUUCGUGAGCAAGCAAGUUGGAUGCACACCCACUUAGUUUUUUUGAGCUUUCAUACACUUAUAGC